GCUCCAAUAGCGUAUAUUAAAGUUGUUGCAGUUAAAAAGCUCGUAGUUGGAUUUGUGGUGGUCCUGUGGUCCAAUAAUGGUACUUUCGGGGACUGCCAUCCUUGGGUGGAUCCUGUGUGGCAUUAGGUUGUCGUGCAGGGGAUGCCAUCGUUUACUGUGAAAAAAUUAGAGUGUUCAAAGCAGGCUUAUGCCGAUGAAUA
rnacentral:rRNA from 1 species